rnacentral:rRNA from 1 species
GUGAGGUAACGGCUCACCAAGGCCACGAUGGGUAGCCGGCCUGAGAGGGUGUACGGCCACACUGGCACUUGAGACAAGGUGCCAGUCCCCUAUGGGAGGCGCAGUGCGGGAAUAGUUCACAAUGGGCGAAAGCCUGAUGACGCGAGGCCGCGUGAGCGAAGAAGACCUUCGGGUUGUAAAGCUCUGUCAGGAGGGAAGAAGGCUCUACGGGUCAAUAGCCCGUGGGAUUGACGGUACCUCCAGAGGAAGCCCCGGCUAAAUACGUGCCAGCAGCCGCGGUAAUACGUAUGGGGCAAGCGUUGUCCGGAUUUACUGGGCGUAAAGGGCGCGUAGGCGGUUUGUUAAGUCGAAGGUGAAAUCCUCGGGCUCAACUCGAGAAUUGCCUUCGAUACUGGCAAACUAGAGUGGCGGAGAGGAAAGCGGAACUCUUGGUGUAACGGUGGAAUGUGUAGAUAUCAAGAGGAACACCGGUGGCGAAGGCGGCUUUCUGGACGCACACUGACGCUCAGGCGCGAAAGCGUGGGUAGCAAACAGGAUUAGAUACCCUGGUAGUCCACGCCAUAAACGAUGGGUACUAGGUGUCGGGGGUAUCGACCCCUCCGGUGCCGCAGUUAACGCACUAAGUACCCCGCCUGGGGAUUAUGGUCGCAAGGCUGAAACUCAAAGGAAUUGACGGGGCCCCGCACAAGCGGUGGAGCAUGUGGUUUAAUUCGACGCAACGCGAAGAACCUUACCUGGGCUUGACAUGCUUGGGACAGCGCUGGAAACAGCGUCUCUCAUUCGGGAGCCCUUGCACAGGUGCUGCAUGGCUGUCGUCAGCUCGUGUCGUGAGAUGUUGGGUUAAGUCCCGCAACGAGCGCAACCCUCGUUAUUAGUUGCCAUCAGUUCGGCUGGGCACUCUAGUGAGACUGCCGGUGAUAAACCGGAGGAAGCUGAGGAUGAUGUCAAGUCAUCAUGGCCCUUACGCCCAGGGCUACACACGUGAUACAAUGGUCGGCACAAAGGGUCGCUAAGCCGCGAGCUGGAGCUAAUCCCAAAAAGCCGGCCUCAGUUCGGAUUGGAGUCUGCAACCCGACUCCAUGAAGGCGGAAUCGCUAGUAAUCGCGGAUCAGCAUGCCGCGGUGAAUAUGUUCACCGGGGCCUGUACACACCGCCCGUCAUAUCACCCGAGUCGGGGAUACCCGAAGUCCAUGACCCAACCAUUUGGAGGG